CCCCUCUCAGGAUUGCACCUGGAGAGUUUCCAGUAUUCUACCAGCUUUGACUACGGGAGGGCGAGUCAAGCAGAGGCAUAUCCAUUCUGUUCCUAGCUUGGGCAGUGGCUAGCGAGUGGAUGGCAAUCUGCUACAAAC